CGCACCGUAGUAGAGGUGUGUAGCCACACGUCUCCAUCAUAGGUCGUUCUGUCGCUAUACAUAGAUGAGCACAACGGGAGUAUUCGUUAUCCUUUCAAUGAAAGGAUCCAGGAUCUAAAGACCGCCGUGUCUUGAUCAUGGGUGUACUUUGAGACCGAAGUAUAACAUCCAUUGCCUCAACUCCUUUGUUUUUGAGCUCUCAAAUGGUCCUCAAUCUGCUGCUUGAAGAACAGCUCCCCCAAGCGGCCAUGCGAGGCCUCGCUCAUGGCCUUGGUCUGCAUACACAUCUUGUACUUAUCCGGAGUCAACUCAUCCGCGCAGUGCUUCUCAUGCCAGAAGUGAAAGAGGCCACGCGAGGGAGAACGAAUCACCAUGAGCUUGCUGUGAAGAUACUUCCUGUACAGAUGCACGUCCUCCAAUCCCCAACC